rnacentral:rRNA from 1 species
CAAGCUGCAAGCCUGGAGGAUUCAGUUGGUCAUCGUGUUGUGUGCACGCCUUGGUGUGUCAGCCGGUAAUAGUAUGAGUAGUCCACUGGGAAACGGUGGGCCCGGCCGCAAGGUUGGGAUGUAUGUCCACACGGUUGGUGGUGUACGCUGCUUGACUACAGGGCUGGAUGGCCAAUGCACUUCCUCCAUAAAGGUGAACACCACGACCGGUGGAACUGCCAGUCUGGCACAGUCGAGUUGUAUCUAGUGCGGCAUUCGUGUCAACUGGGUGCAAUCACAGGCAUUCUCAGUGGACGGUGAGCUUGCUCAUGUUAUCGGUCACUGGUUGUCAACGGGUCUGUUCGUCGGUGCUUGUAAUGCCCGGUGGAUGGCCUGGUGGGCUGUGUUGGUAUGAAUAACUGUGCAGGGCACCGGAGUUAGCGGCCUCAAAUCCGGGUUGGCUCGUACAUUACAAGUACAGCAUGAUGGCGUUAAUGCGGCCUGUCGUUGGUCGGGUCUGAUUGUCGUGUUGCCCGCACAAAGUGGGUUCGGCAGUGGCCUGGUCGCGGUCGGCGUUGUAUUUGGCGUUGUCGUGUGUCAGCCGGUGUUGGUCUAAAAGUCUGUGGUGUAGUGGUAGACGAGCUACCCGACCCGUCUUGAAAC